GUGAGCAUAGUUCAGUUGGUAGAACAAUGCAUUAUUAUAUGCAGGGGCCGGAGUUCGAACCCCGAACACCCC
rnacentral:tRNA from 1 species